rnacentral:rRNA from 1 species
UACGGAGGGGGCAAGCGUUGUUCGGAAUUACUGGGCGUAAAGGGCGCGUAGGCGGCCAUUCAAGUCGGAGGUGAAAGCCCAGGGCUCAACCCUGGAAUUGCCUUCGAUACUGUUUGGCUAGAGACCGGAAGAGGUAAGUGGAACUGCGAGUGUAGAGGUGAAAUUCGUAGAUAUUCGCAAGAACACCAGUGGCGAAGGCGGCUCACUGGCCCGGUACUGACGCUGAGGUGCGAAAGCGUGGGGAGCGAACAGG